GGCGGUUCUUGGGUGAUGCACCCCAGAAUCGGGCUGCCUCCUUUCUGUUUCCAGGUGUGUCACCUGAACGGCA
rfam:Myotis brandtii contig202629, whole genome shotgun sequence.